rnacentral:rRNA from 1 species
UACGAAGGGAGCUAGCGUUGUUCGGAAUUACUGGGCGUAAAGGGCGUGUAGGCGGUACCAUAAGUCAGAUGUGAAAGCCCCAGGCUUAACCUGGGAGGUGCAUUUGAUACUGUGGAACUAGAGAUCGAGAGAGGAAAGUGGAAUUACGAGUGUAGAGGUGAAAUUCGUAGAUAUUCGUAAGAACACCAGUGGCGAAGGCGACUUUCUGGCUCGAUACUGACGCUAAGGCGCGAAAGCGUGGGGAGCAAACAGG